rnacentral:rRNA from 1 species
UACGGAGGUCUCAAGCGUUGUUCGGAUUCAUUGGGCGUAAAGGGUGCGUAGGCGGCGCGGUAAGUCGGGUGUGAAAUCUCGGAGCUUAACUCCGAAACUGCAUUCGAUACUGCCGUGCUUGAGGACUGGAGAGGAGACUGGAAUUUACGGUGUAGUGGUGAAAUGCGUAGAUAUCGUAGGGAAGACCAGUGGCGAAGGCGGGUCUCUGGACAGUUCCUGACGCUGAGGCACGAAGGUCAGGGGAGCAAACGGG